rnacentral:tRNA from 2 species
GGGGAGAUUCCAGAGUGGCCAAAUGGGGCAGACUGUAAAUCUGUUGCGAAAGCUUCGGAGGUUCGAAUCCUCCUCUCCCCACGA